UCUCCGUUGGUGAACCAGCGGAGGGAUCAUUACUGGAAUCGCAAGAUCCCACAACCCCUGUGAACCUACCGAAACGUUGCCUCGGCGGGCGCCCGGCCCCGCGCCGGGCGCUGAGCCCGCCGGCGGCCCCCUACUCUUGUCUCUGCAGCGUGGCAUCUCAGAGUCUCAGAAAACAAGUAAAAACUUUCAACAACGGAUCUCUUGGCUCUA
rnacentral:misc_RNA from 1 species